CACGUAGGGCGCAAGCGUUGUCCGGAUUUACUGGGCGUAAAGAGCGCGCAGGCGGUCGUACAAGUCGCGUGUGAAAGCCCCUGGCUCAACUGGGGAGGGUCACGCGAUACUGUUCGACUCGAAGGCAGGAGAGGGAAGUGGAAUUCCCGGUGUAGUGGUGAAAUGCGUAGAUAUCGGGAGGAACACCAGUGGCGAAGGCGACUUCCUGGCCUGUUCUUGACGCUGAGGCGCGAAAGCUAGGGUAGCAAACGGG
rnacentral:rRNA from 1 species